rnacentral:rRNA from 1 species
UACGGAGGGAGCUAGCGUUGUUCGGAAUUACUGGGCGUAAAGCGUGCGUAGACGGUCAUGUAAGUCGGGUGUGAAAGCCCCGGGCUCAACCUGGGAAUUGCAUUCGAGACUGCAUGGCUAGGAUGCGGAAGAGGGAAGCGGAAUUUCCGGUAUAGCGGUGAAAUGCGUAGAUAUCGGAAGGAACACCAGUGGCGAAGGCGGCUACCUGGACUGACACUGACGCUGAGGCGCGAGAGCGUGGGGAGCAAACAGG